UACGGGGGGAGCAAGCGUUGUUCGGAGUUACUGGGCGUAAAGGGCGCGUAGGCGGUUCGUUAAGAUUGUUGUGAAAUCCCUGGGCUUAACCUAGGACUGCAACGAAGACUGGCGAGCUGGAGUAUUGUAGAGGGUAGUGGAAUUUCCGGUGUAGCGGUGAAAUGCGUAGAGAUCGGAAGGAACACCAGUGGCGAAGGCGGCUACCUGGACAAAUACUGACGCUGAGGCGCGAGAGCGUGGGGAGCAAACAGG
rnacentral:rRNA from 1 species